GUCACACUUGCAUUGUGCCAUGCAGCCAAUAUAUAAAGCCUUACGCAAACAGGUAGAAGCACAAUAGCUCAGGGUGUUGCGAGGCUAAUCAUCAGGCAGUAAAAGGAUAACCACUGAUUUUCAUCACUGCUGGAGCUGACCUGACUACAAUGGAUACUGGACAAAUCCUAUCAAUACUGCUGAUACUAUCAGUGGCUAUGGACUUUGUUCCUACUUCAACUUCUGCAGAAACGAUUACAACUGUAGAUCCAACUAGUGUUUGGUCAACAACAGAUCCACAAUCAACAACAAUGGGAGAGUUAACAACUGCAGAAUCAUCAGCCACUCCUGAAUCAACAACAAUGGAAGAAACAACAAAUACAGGGUCAACAGAAGCUCCUGAAUCAACAACUGUAGGGUCAACAGAAGCUCCUGAAUCAACAACAAUCGGAGAGUCAACCACAGCAGGGUCAACAGCACCUCCACAAUCAACAACAAUGGGAGAGUCAACAACUACAGAAUCAACAGCUGCUCCUGAAUCAACAACAAUGAGAGAGUCAACAACUACAGAAUCAACAGCUGCUCCACAAUCAACAACAAUGGGAGAGUCAACAACUACAGAAUCAACAGCUGCUCCACAAUCAACAACAAUGGCAGAAACAACAAAUACAGGGUCAACAGAAGCUCCUGAAUCAACAACUGUAGGGUCAACAGCAGCUCAGCAAUCGACAACAAUCGGAGAGUCAACCACAGCAGGGUCAACAGCACCUCCACAAUCGACAACAAUGGGAGAGUCAACAACUGCAGAAUCAACAGCAGCUCCACAAUCAACAACAAUGGGAGAGUCAACAACUACAGAAUCAACAGCUGCUCCUGAAUCAACAACAAUGAGAGAGUCAACAACUACAGAAUCAACAGCUGCUCCACAAUCAACAACAAUGGGAGAGUCAACAACUACAGAAUCAACAGCUGCUCCACAAUCAACAACAAUGGAAGAAACAACAAAUACAGGGUCAACAGAAGCUCCUGAAUCAACAACUGUAGGGUCAACAGCAGCUCAGCAAUCGACAACAAUCGGAGAGUCAACCACAGCAGGGUCAACAGCACCUCCACAAUCGACAACAAUGGGAGAGUCAACAACUGCAGAAUCAACAGCAGCUCCUGAAUCAACAACAAUGGGAGAGUCAACAACUGCAGAAUCAACAGCCGCUCCUGAAUCAACAACAAUGGGAGAGUCAACAACUGCAGAAUCAACAGUCGCUCCACAAUCAACAACAAUGGAAGAAACAACAAAUACAGGGUCAACAGAAGCUCCUGAAUCAACAACUGUAGGGUCAACAGCAGCUCAACAAUCGACAACAAUCAGAGAGUCAACCACAGCAGGGUCAACAGCAGCUCCACAAUCGACAACAAUGGGAGAGUCAACAACUACAGAAUCAACAGCUGCUCCACAAUCAACAACAAUGGGAGAGUCAACAACUGCAGAAUCAACAGCAGCUCGUGAAUCAACAACAAUGAGAGAGUCAACAACUACAGAAUCAACAGCUGCUCCACAAUCAACAACAUGGGAGAGUCAACAACUACAGAAUCAACAGCUGCUCCACAAUCAACAACAAUGAAGAAACAACAAAUACAGGGUCAACAGAAGCUCCUGAAUCAACAACUGUAGGGUCAACAGCAGCUCAGCAAUCAACAACAAUCGGAGAGUCAACCACAGCAGGGUCAACAGCAGCUCCACAAUCGACAACAAUCGGAGAGUCAACAACUGCAGAAUCAUCAG
ensembl:lncRNA mucin-22-like